rnacentral:rRNA from 1 species
GGGUCAGUAGGUUGGUCGUGCCACCGGUACGUACUGGUCUCGCUGAUUCCUCCUUCCUGAAGAACCGUAAUGCCAUUAAUUUGGUGUUGCGGGGAAACAGGACUGUUGCUUUGAAAAAAUUAGAGUGUUUAAAGCAAGCUAACGCUUGAAUACAUUAUCAUGGAAUAAUGAAAUAGGACGAUCGAUCCUAUUUUGUUGGUUUCUAGGAUUGACGUA